UUGCGGUCAUUGAAUAAGAGAAACCACUUCUCUCUCUCUCUCACUCCACUUCCUUCACCACUCUCUCUAUCCUUCUGUUUGCACACUUGUACGAGUUCAUUGACCCAAGAAAAGAACGGCUACUUGCUUUCUGAAGUCUUUGUGCUGGUAGUAGUCGAAGCAAAAGGUGAGGCCACAAAGCGCGUGCGGGUGGAGCGGAAGGAUCUUUCAUAAGGUUCAAGGUCACCGCCGUAUGUGGCAUUGCCUUCUGUGAUGCCGAUCCUUUCCAGCAUAUACAACAGAGAUUCAACUACUUCGUACAUUG